UACAGAGGGCUCAAGCGUUGUUCGGAUUCAUUGGGCGUAAAGGGCGCGUAGGCGGCGCGGUAAGUCGGGUGUGAAAUCUCGGAGCUUAACUCCGAAACUGCAUUCGAUACUGCCGUGCUUGAGGACUGGAGAGGAGACUGGAAUUUACGGUGUAGCGGUGAAAUGCGCAGAUAUCAGGAGGAACACCGGUGGCGAAGGCGGAUCUCUGGGCCAUUACUGACGCUGGGGUGCGAAAGCGUGGGGAGCAAACAGG
rnacentral:rRNA from 1 species